UAAAGGAAGCGAUUCCGGCUACGGAUGGUCAUGCGUCGCAUUAGCUAGUUGGCGGGGUAACGGCCCACCAAGGCGACGAUGCGUAGGGGUUCUGAGAGGAAGGUCCCCCACACUGGUACUGAGACACGGACCAGACUCCUACGGGAGGCAGCAGUGAGGAAUAUUGGUCAAUGGCCGCAGGGCUGAACCAGCCAAGUCGCGUGAGGGAUGACGGUCCUAUGGAUUGUAAACCUCUUUUGUCAGGGAGCAAAGGGCGCCACGUGUGGCGCUUUGCGAGUACCUGAAGAAAAAGCAUCGGCUAACUCCGUGCCAGCAGCCGCGGUAAUACGGAGGAUGCGAGCGUUAUCCGGAUUUAUUGGGUUUAAAGGGUGCGCAGGCGGAAUGUCAAGUCAGCGGUAAAAUUUCGGGGCUCAACCCCGUCGUGCCGUUGAAACUGGCGUUCUUGAGUGAGCGAGAAGUAUGCGGAAUGCGUGGUGUAGCGGUGAAAUGCAUAGAUAUCACGCAGAACUCCGAUUGCGAAGGCAGCAUACCGGCGCUCAACUGACGCUCAUGCACGAAAGCGUGGGUAUCGAACAGGAUUAGAUACCCUGGUAGUCCACGCAGUAAACGAUGAAUACUAACUGUCCGGGCAGAAUGAUGCCUGG
rnacentral:rRNA from 1 species